GCGGGUGUGGCGAAAUUGGCAUACGCACUAGACUUAGGAUCUAGCGCCUUCGGGCGUGCAGGUUCAACUCCUGUCACCCGCACCA
rnacentral:tRNA from 1 species